UUUUAAUGUGCUUUAUAUCGUAUGUACUUAUGUGAUAUAUUUAUGUGUAUGAACAUCAUGAAGAUUAUUGACUAUGAUAAAUCAUGUGUACGUCUAUUCAAUAUAUACAAUUAAGUGUCAUAAAUCAUAGUGAUGAUGUGUGUAUAUGUGUAAUAUAAUAACUCUACAUUAUUGAUGUGCUAAUAGAUAAAGCAAAAUCAAAGUUUAGAUAAGUUAUUUUUUUCAUCUUUUGCUAAUGAUGUACACGUCUCUCUCCACCAACUCUUACUUUUUCCAACUCCACCACCCUUUGCUCCACCAACUAUCAGCCACCACUCCACCAUCAUUUGCUUUCCACCCAACAAAUGCAAUGCUUGGCUUCAAUGCUUUCUUCUUCUUUGAUUAAGUUCACCUGAAAUAAAACAAGAACCAUCGUUCAUUACAGUUAAUCUCCUAUUAAAACCAAUCUACUAUAGCAAACAGUACAGCAACUAAGCCAAAUAACUUCAAGUUUCUAUCCACUGAUUCAAUCACACAGCAGCCACCCAAGCACAAGGAUCCACAGGUCAAGCGCGAGAGUAAGAACUAUUCAAGAAGUCACAGUACUUAGCAAAACUUUGCUAUCAGGUUGAGCUGUGAUGGGCGAUGAAGUGUUGUUGCUGAGUGGAGUUUUUGUUGAACUUAAAGUAGGCUCAGAAAGGAUACAUGUCUUCAUACAUGUAUCUCAGUUAUGCAUUCCGCUGUAAACACUGAUUAUUUCAGUUACACCUUCCGUUGCAAACUCUGAUAAUGUUUUAGCCAAGCCCCUAACGAUGCCUUUUUCCUUUUAAGGAAUAUAACGCUUAUACAAGUUCGUUGAGUACCCUUUUUAUGCGAACUAUGCCUUUUUCCUUUUUAAGGAAUAUUUCACGCGUA